AACGAACGCUGGCGGCGUGCCUAACACAUGCAAGUCGAACGGAACCGCCGGGUCUUGUGGCGCAGGUGGGCGUGCCGCGGGGGAACCUGCCCUUGGGUACGGAAUACCUCCCCGUAGGGGGUGCUAAUGCAGGAGAAGCUAUUCGGGCCAAAGAUUUAUCGCUUUUGGGUGGGCCCGCGUUGGCUUAGCUGGUUGGUAGUGGAAAAGCCUACCAAGGCGACGAUCCAUAGCUGGUCGGAGAGGAGGCUCAGCCACACUGGAACUGCGACACGGCCCAGUCUCCUACGGGGGGGAGCAGUGGGGAAUAUUGGACAAUGGGGGAUAGCCUGAUCCAGCAAUGCCGGGGAAGUGAGGAAGGGCGUAGGGUUGUAAAUCUGUUUUACCCGGGAUGAUAAUGACAGUACCGGGUGAAUAAGCACCGGCUAACUCCGUG
rnacentral:rRNA from 1 species